AGGGCAGGCAGGUCGACAGACAGAGAAAACAGUGAAUACAUUAGCAGUGAUUAGUCACCACCAGCAGCUCUCUCCUUGAUUGAGCCGCACUGUGAAGCCAGUUCUGCAGGGGGGAAGAGAGGGACGGAGAAGGGGACAGAUUUGCACUGUCCACAGGAACACAGGAACAUAACCAACACAUGUCAUGGAUAACAAGCCUGACAAACCGACAGGCAGGCAGUGAACAAUUAGCACCUGCUCCCCAAAGCGGUAUGAGACUAUAUCUUCAAGAGACAUGGGAACAUAGCUUCAUCAUGUGACCCUAACCUUAUGUUCAAGUAUGACAAAGACAUUCAGUACAUAACUCACACGCCUCUUAGCCAACUCCUAUCAUUUCAGUCGGCAGACUCAAACAGUUCUGGUUGCAACAUCGAAGUGUCUAUCAGACAAACACGAGCAUUCAUCUUUGUCAGUAUGACUCUCUGAGCUCUCUGCCAGAGAAUGCACAAGCCGUACAUGAUCAGACAGUAUAAAAGAACAGCCAAAUAUUUAUCAUCUGCACUUCACAGAAUGGGUAAGAAAGGCGAACGUUAGGAUGGUGGAGGCAGCAACAAAAGAAGCAGCGGAUUGUAAACACAAUCUGCUAUCAUCACAGACCACGAAGAAACCAGCACCAGCACACGCAGCGCGUCGACACACGUCGACGGCAGCCAUGUUGGAUGUUUAUUCAGAGCUCCAUUAGGUACAACGAUGAGAAGCCAGCUGAUUUAGAACCUGUCCUCUUCGCCCACCCCCACCCCCCCUAUAUUUUCUCCCUACAUUAGAUUCCUGAGCUGCAAAGGAGACAGAUGGUUGCUAUGGCAACUAUCUGCAGGGAUGAGGAAUGUGCUCCUGUGCAGCGCAUCUGUUUCUCCCUGGUUGUCUGUGGCUCCACCCACUCAGAGGAAGAACCCUUCGGCGCAGGUGAGGGGGUGUGGCCUACUGGACAAAGGUUCUCAAGCCACAGGACCAAACUUACCGGUGUGGUAUGUGGCCAUGGAGGGAUUCUUUGCAGGAGUGCAGUUUGGAAACUGUGUCAUUCCCCAGACUCAGAUUAAGGCAAAGGCAAACUGAUGUCACUUGUGAGACGUUUAGUGAAAAACGAUUGUCUAAAUCUAGUACCCUACACACCGAACGGUACGUACCCUACACACUGUUAUACAUGACAACCCCUGAAGGACGUUCAGAUACUGGAACCAGCAUUCCUGGCACUUCCGAUCGAACCAACCUCAAAAUCUUUCAGUUCACUUGUUUUGGCCCAUUCUAACAUUCAAUCGAACGGUAACUGAAUGCCUCUGUGCCUGUCUGCCUGCUUUAAAUAGCCCCAGCCACAUGACUCACUAGGAACCAUUGAUUUUUGUGAAUGGGGAUGGUGUAUCUUCUAAACUGGCUGUGGAUGGUAUGUACAGUCCUGUGGCAUUAGUUUGUUUUCCAGAGCUGGUCUUCUAAUUGGUUGAUCUCAUACUUUGUGAUGUCAGGGGAUCAUUUUCUAAAGAAUGAACGAAGGUCGGGAGAAAGCCUAUGAAAUGGGAUGGACAGACACCAACAUCCCAAAGCCCAGAGAGGGGAACAGUCCACAGCCCAGAGAGGGGAACAGUCCACAGCCCAGAGAGGGGAACAGUCCACAGCCCAGAGAGGGGAACAGUCCACAGCCCAGAGAGGGGAACAGUCCACAGCCCAGAGAGGGGAACAGUCCACAGCCCAGAGAGGGGAACAGUCCACAGCCCAGAGAGGGGAACAGUCCACAGCCCAGAGAGGGGAACAGUCCACAGCCCAGAGAGGGGAACAGUCCACAGCCCAGAGAGGGGAACAGUCCACAGCCCAGAGAGGGGAACAGUCCACAGCCCAGAGAGGGGAACAGUUGGGGGUCCUGAGGUACCAGCUUCAGAUAGGCAGGGAUGGACAGGGGGGGGCUACAAUGAAUGAAUCUGGGGCAAUACAACAAUACUUCUCAACAAAGAAACUACAUUUCUUGAGCUUAUGCAGAAUAUAGGAAACUGCUGCUCAUGCCUGUUGGAACUUCAAACUGUAAGUUACAUAUGCAUAUGAAAAGAGCACCAGACUGCAGAGUGAGAUGAACAGGAAAGGGCCCAGUAUGUUUGCCUUGUGAUGCAAUUACAGCCAGAAUGCAAAUGACAUCCAUUUUAGGAAUGUCCCCACACCUACCUUUAGCACAAACAAGCCCUCAACAUUUCUCUCUCACAGGAAAUGUCUGGAGAGAGUGUGUCAAAUUUGGGGGAUAGCAAUUGUAACAGGAAACUUGACAGAUAGUCAGUCAACCUCUGCCUUGUAGCUGGUCGUUGAGUACUGCACAGUGAAUGAAGGGUCAUAAAGUUAAAGAAGUAUGAGAUUACAGUAUGUCAACAACGUUUGUCCCAGAACUACUGCUGCACCGGGAGACGAAGAGGAGCCUGUGUUUUAUGGAAAUGUUUGGAGCAAGAGUGAAUUGUAUUUCUAAACCCUUCUCUGUAUACAAAUACCAAGUACCAACUGAAAAUCGAGGACUAACCCCACAAUGAAAAACAUUGACUGCCCCUUUGCAUUUAAAGUAUGAAGCAGAACAAUCUGCUGUAAAUGUAGAAUUCUCAACCUGUGGACCAGGUGAUCAAGUUAUGUCUGUCUGGAACUAUAUUCCACAUAUUUAAGUUUCAAUAUUCCUAUAUGUUUAAUGUAUGCACCCCCCUGCCAAAGUAAAUUCCUUGUUUGUGCAAACAUUCAUGGCGAAUAAAAUCCCUCCUGUUCUGCUCUGUUCUGCUCAUCAACAUGUCUAAUUUCCAUUAGUUGGGCUCCAAGUAAG